rnacentral:rRNA from 2 species
GACGAACCGUGCAAACGUUGUUCGGAAUCACUGGGCUUAAAGGGCGCGUAGGCGGUCGACCAAGUCCGGGGUGAAAUCUUUCGGCUUAACCGGAAAAGUGCCUUGGAUACUGGCCGGCUGGAGGGAGGUAGGGGCAGGUGGAACUUCCAGUGGAGCGGUGAAAUGCGUUGAUAUUGGAAGGAACGCCGGUGGCGAAAGCGACCUGCUGGACCUCUUCUGACGCUGAGGCGCGAAAGCUAGGGGAG